CGGAUGUAGCCAAGGGGAUCAAGGCAGGGGAUUUGGGAAUCCCCCC
rnacentral:tRNA from 1 species